AGCUAGUAGUGGUUGUUAGUGCAUGCAAGAUUGGUCAAGUCGUGGAGAUAGUUAGUAGCCUAGAUAAAAGGUCCUAGUAAAUUUAGUCCUGAGUGCAUGGCGAGAUUUGCUGGCCGUUGGAGGAAGUGCUAGUCGUGGGCAUGCAUAUAGCUAAGAAUUAUGUAGUGGGCAGGUCAGGUUGUUAGUGGCCGGCGUCCAGUUUAUGCGUACAUGAGUCUUGUACUCCUAUAUAAGUUGAACAACUAAAUAUGAGGAGAGCCCGUGAGGGCACUAUCACAAUGUAGUCUUUGUGUUCAUCAAGGAAGUGUUCUGGGCAAAGCCCUUGGUCAUCUUCUUUGGUUGUGUGCGUGCGUGUGUGUGUUCUUGUGCUCUUGAGAAACCACAAGAGAGUUGAGUGGAAGAAGAAGAGGGGCGCUGCGACGAGGCGGCGCCAACAAUUGGUAUCAUGAGCCUGGUUAUCGUGGGCGUGGUUCACCAUGCCGGAGGUGUGCCGGCGAGGGCGGCGUUCGUCGGCGGCCGCACGAAGCUCCGAACCAUGUGUCGGCCUAUGGAGGUGCGCGGCGCUGCGGUUGCCAUGGCGGACACAGUGUGGCUGCGUGGCGGACUCCAUGUGAGGGGGGCGUCGGUGGCGCAAGGUGGACACCGUUGGCGGUGUGAUGCUGCUAGCGGCUGGUGUGUGUCUUCAUCAUUGUCGAGCCGCAUCACGAGUGAUGGAGCAAGGUAUGUCGCCUGGUAAGUUGUGUCACUGGCGGCAUGGAGGUGGUGGCCAUGGAGCGGAGGCCAUUGCCAUAAGGAGUUCCAUGUGCGAGUUGUCGACAAGGUGCGUCAUCGUCGACAACAUGGAGGUGAGUCAACGGCGAGUUGUGGCAUCGGUGGCGAACAUGGAGGUGAGUCACCGGCGAGUUGCGACACCGGUGGCGAAGAUGAAGGCGAGUCAUCGGCGAGUUGCGGCACCGGUGGCGAAUAUGCGACAACAAGUGUGUCACGUGGCACGCACGUGGUGAAGGCGUAGGAGGUGUGGCUCUCAUCGAAGCAAACGACAACGAUGACAAUCGGCGUGACAAGAUGACAUUGGCGGCCGUCUCCGUGUUACACCGGCGACAUCGAUGACCACGGGCUUCAGGAGAGAACUAAGUUAACAAGAUUAGGAAGGUGAAUGUUGGAACUAAUCUUGUUAUUACUGCUAAAAGUAGUUGAUUAGAUCAUGCAUGCAUGUAGUUGAGACGUGACACUAAAAGCUGCGGUUGUGUACGAACGUAGAGACGUGAUCACGUGUAUAUAGAAAGCUAGUAGUGGUUGUUAGUGCAUGCAAGAUUGGUCAAGUCGUGGAG
rnacentral:lncRNA from 1 species